rnacentral:ncRNA from 1 species
AUAAUGAUACUCCUGUCCGGUCAUAAAGUCGUGUAUGCGAAAAGUUUCCAAAAGAUAUUUGUUUAUGGAAAAGAAGAUACCGCAACAAGUGAGGGCAGCUUCGGGCGAUCCUCGAAGGGGUGUGAUUCCCGUG